UACGUAGGGUGCAAGCGUUGUCCGGAAUUAUUGGGCGUAAAGAGCUCGUAGGCGGCUUGUCGCGUCGGAUGUGAAAGCCCGGGGCUUAACUCCGGGUCUGCAUUCGAUACGGGCAGGCUAGAGUUCGGUAGGGGAGAUCGGAAUUCCUGGUGUAGCGGUGAAAUGCGCAGAUAUCAGGAGGAACACCGGUGGCGAAGGCGGGUCUCUGGGCCGAUACUGACGCUGAGGAGCGAAAGCGUGGGGAGCGAACAGG
rnacentral:rRNA from 1 species